rnacentral:rRNA from 1 species
UAGGGAAUCUUCGGCAAUGGACGGAAGUCUGACCGAGCAACGCCGCGUGAGUGAAGAAGGUUUUCGGAUCGUAAAGCUCUGUUGUUAGAGAAGAACGUUGGUAGGAGUGGAAAAUCUACCAAGUGACGGUAACUAACCAGAAAGGGACGGCUAACUACGUGCCAGCAGCCGCGGUAAUACGUAGGUCCCGAGCGUUGUCCGGAUUUAUGGGGCGUAAAGCGGGCGCAGGCGGUUCUUUAAGUCUGAAGUUAAAGGCAGUGGCUUAACCAUUGUACGGUUUGGAAACUGGAGGACUUGGGUGCAGAAGGAGAGAGUGGAAUUCCAUGUGUAGCAGUGAAAGGCGUAGAUAUAUGGAGGAACACCGGUGGCGAAAGCGGCUCUCUGGUCUGUAACUGACGCUGAGGCUCGAAAGCGUGGGGAGCAAACAGG